CCACUUAAAAAGAGCUAACAUGCCCAAUAUCAAGGUCUAUAUGUUGAAGAUAUCUGAGAUGUUUACCUCAUUAGAAAGGAUGAUGCAACAUAAAACCCUACUCCAUAGUUAUCCUAGGAAACUACCAUUUUAAAACAAAACGAUAAAGGAAAGAUAAAAAGAUAUGUAAACAUCUGUUUGAUUUGAUGUGUCUUGAAUAAUCUUCACGACAUAGUAUUUAUAGACUUAGAAUAACUAAGCAAACUACACUAAUAUUGAUUCCCACAUUUUGGCACAUCAUCUAC
rnacentral:lncRNA from 1 species